rnacentral:rRNA from 1 species
CCGCCUGGGGAGUACGAUCGCAAGAUUAGAACUCAAAGGAAUUGACGGGGCCCCGCACAAGCAACGGAGCAUGCGGCUUAAUUCGACGCAACGCGAAGAACCUUACCAAGGCUUGACAUAUAGAGAAAAGUGGCAGAGAUGUCAUGUCCGCAAGGGCUCUAUACAGGUGGUGCAUGGUUGUCGUCAGCUCGUGUCGUGAGAUGUUGGGUUAAGUCCCGCAACGAGCGCGACCCUCGUUCUGUGUUGCCAGCAUUUAGUUGGGGACUCACAGGAGACUGCCGGGGUUAACUCGGAGGAAGGUGGGGAUGACGUCAAAUCAUCAUGCCCCUUAUGUCUUGGGCUGCACGCAUGCUACAAUGGCCGGUACGGAGGGCUGCAAUACCGUAAGGUGGAGCGAAUCCCAAAAAGCCGGUCUCAGUUCGGAUUGAGGUCUGCAACUCGACCUCAUGAAGUUGGAGUUGCUAGUAAUCGUAGAUCAGCAUCGCUACGGUGAAUACGUUCCCGGGGCUGUACACACCGCCCGUCACGUCACGAAAGUCGGUAACACCCAAAGUCAGUGCC